GUCUUGGUGGCUCAGUUGGUUAGAGCGUCGGUCUCAUAGAUCGGUUCUAUGACUUGGCAUCUCAAAAAUGCCUGGGUCAUCCGAAGGUCGUGAGUUCGAGUCUCACCCAGGACA